CGUACUCAGUGGUCAGGAUGAUUAUUGGGCCUAAAGCAUCCGUAGCCGGCUCUGUAAGUUUUCGGUUAAAUCUAUGCGCUCAACGUAUGGGCUGCCGAAAAUACUGCAGAGAUAGGGAGUGGGAGAGGUAGACGGUACUCGGUAGGAAGGGGUAAAAUCCUUUGAUCUAUCGAUGACCACCUGUGGCGAAGGCGGUCUACCAGAACACGUUCGACGGUGAGGGAUGAAAGCUGGGGGAGCAAACCGGAUUAGAUACCCGGGUAGUCCCAGCUGUAAACGAUGCAGACUCGAUGAUGCAUUGGCAUAUAGCCAGUGCAGUGUCGCAGGGAAGCCGUUAAGUCUGCCGCCUGGGAAGUACGUACGCAAGUAUGAAACUAAAGAAGUUGGCGGGGGAGCACGGUCAUACUU
rnacentral:rRNA from 1 species